CCUACGGGUGGCUGCAGUGGGGAAUAUUGCACAAUGGGGGAAACCCUGAUGCAGCGACGCCGCGUGAGUGAAGAAGUAUUUCGGUAUGUAAAGCUCUAUCAGCAGGGAAGAGAAUGACGGUACCUGAGUAAGAAGCCCCGGCUAACUACGUGUCAGCAGCCGCGGUAAUACGUAGGGGGCACGCGUGAUACGGAUUUACUGGGUGUAAAGGGAGCGUAGACGGCGAUGCAAGUCUGAAGCGAAAGCCCGCGGCUCAACCGCGGAGCGUCUUUUGAAACUUUUUUGCUGGAGUACCGGAGAGGUAAGCGGAAUUCCUGGUGUAGCGGUGAAAUGCGUAGAUAUUAGGAGGAACACCAGUGGCGAAGGCGGCUUACUGGACGGUAACUGACGUUGAUGCGCGAAAGCGUGGGGAGCAAACAGGAUUAGAUACCCCAGUAGUC
rnacentral:rRNA from 1 species